rnacentral:rRNA from 1 species
AUUGAACGCUGGCGGCAGGCUUAACACAUGCAAGUCGAGCGAGAGGCGGACGGGUGAGUAAUGUCUGGGAAACUGCCUGAUGGAGGGGGAUAACUACUGGAAACGGUAGCUAAUACCGCAUACCAUCAGAUGUGCCCAGAUGGUAUUAGCUAGUAGGUGGGUUAAUGGAUCACCUAGGCGACGAUCCCUAGAUGGUUUGAGAGGAUGACCAGCCACACUGGAACGUAGACACGGUCCAGAUUCCCACGGAGGGGAGUAGUGGGGAAUAUUGCACAAUGGGCGCAAGCCUGAUGCAGCAAUGCCGCGUGUGUGAAGAAGGCCUUCGGGUUGUAAAGCACGUUCAGCGAGGAGGCGUUACUCGCAGAAGAAGCACCGGCUAACGCCGUGCAAGCAGCCGCGGUAAUUC